rnacentral:rRNA from 1 species
AUAGUUUGAUUCUGGCUCAGAACGAACGCUGGCGGCGUGCUUAACACAUGCAAGUCGAACGAGAAAGUUUCCUUCGGGAAACGAGUAGAGUGGCGCACGGGUGAGUAACGCGUAGGUAAUCUACCCUUAUAUUUGGGAUAACAUUGGGAAACUGGUGCUAAUACCGAAUGGUCUUCAUUUCUGUUAGGGAGAUGGAGUAAAGGUGGCCUCUUCAUGAAAGCUACCGUGUAGGGAUGAGCCUGCGUACCAUUAGCUAGUAGGUGGGGUAACGGCCCACCUAGGCUACGAUGGUUAGCGGGUCUGAGAGGAUGAUCCGCCACACUGGAACUGGAACACGGACCAGACUCCUACGGGAGGCAGCAGUGAGGAAUAUUGCGCAAUGGGGGAAGCCCUGACGCAGCGACGCCGCGUGAGUGAGGAAGGUUUUCGGAUCGUAAAGCUCUGUCAGAAGGGAAGAAGUGUUACAUGGUUAAUACCCAUGUAAUUUGACGGUACCUUCAGAGGAAGCACCGGCUAACUCCGUGCCAGCAGCCGCGGUAAUACGGAGGGUGCAAGCGUUGUUCGGAAUUACUGGGCGUAAAGGGCGCGUAGGCGGCCCGAUAAGUCAGGUGUGAAAGUCCACGGCUCAACCGUGGAAGUGCAUUUGAAACUGUCGGGCUUGAGUAUCGGAGGGGAGUGUGGAAUUCCCGGUGUAGAGGUGAAAUUCGUAGAGAUCGGGAGGAACACCGGUGGCGAAGGCGACAUUCUGGACGAA